UACGGCGGUUAUAGCGUCAGGGAAACGCCCGGUCACAUUCCGAACCCGGAAGCUAAGACUGACUGCGCCGAUGGUACUGCACUCGGGAGGGUGUGGGAGAGUAGGACACCGCCGGACACCUUUUA
rnacentral:rRNA from 1 species